rnacentral:rRNA from 1 species
GACGAACGCUGGCGGCGUGCUUAACACAUGCAAGUCGAACGAAGAGCGAUGGAUGCUUGCUUCUAUCCAUCUUAGUGGCGAACGGGUGAGUCACGCGUAAUCAACCUUCCCUUCUGAGGGGGACUACAGUUGGAAACGACUGCUAAUACCGCAUACGACCUAAUCUCGGCGUCGAGGAUAGAUGUAAGGUGGCCUCUACAUGUCUGCUAUCACUGCAGGUGGGGAUUGCGUUUGGUUAGCUAGUGGGUGGGGUAACGGCCCACCGAGGCGAUGAUCAGUAGCCGGACGGAGAGGAUGGGCAGCCAGAUUGGGAGUGAGACACGGCCCAUACUGCUACGGGAAGCAGCAGUGGUGAAUCGUCCGCAAUGGACGGAAGUCUGACGGAGCAACGCCGCGUGAGGGAGGACGGCCGUCGGGUGGUAAAGCUCUGUUAAUCGGGACGAAAGGCCUUCUGGCGAAUAGUGAGAAGGAUUGACGGUACCGGAAUAGAAAGCCACGGCUAACUACGUG